GCUCUGGUGGCCUAGUGGUUAGAACGUCCGCCUCAAAUGCAGGGGGUCGUGGGUUCGAUGGUCGUGAGUUCUAUUCCCGGUCGAUUCAUUCCGGAGACU